rnacentral:rRNA from 1 species
GAUGAACGCUAGCGGGAGGCCUAACACAUGCAAGCCGAGCGGUAGAGAUUCUUCGGAAUCUUGAGAGCGGCGUACGGGUGCGGAACACGUGUGCAACCUGCCUUUAUCAGGGGGAUAGCCUUUCGAAAGGAAGAUUAAUACCCCAUAAUAUAUUAAGUGGCAUCACUUGAUAUUGAAAACUCCGGUGGAUAAAGAUGGGCACGCGCAAGAUUAGAUAGUUGGUAGGGUAACGGCCUACCAAGUCAGUGAUCUUUAGGGGGCCUGAGAGGGUGAUCCCCCACACUGAUACUGAGACACGGACCAGACUCCUACGGGAGGCAGCAGUGGGGAAUAUUGGACAAUGGGUGAGAGCCUGAUCCAGCCAUCCCGCGUGAAGGAUGACGGCCCUAUGGGUUGUAAACUUCUUUUGUAUAGGGAUAAACCUUUCCACGUGUGGAAAGCUGAAGGUACUAUACGAAUAAGCACCGGCUAACUCCGUGCCAGCAGCCGCCGUAAUAC